AUGAAGAUUCUAAGUUGGAAUGUCCGAGGGUUAGGGGAGGACGAUAAGUGCUCGCUGGUUCGUGAUGUUAUAACCUCCUGCUCUCCUAGUAUAGUUUGUUUGCAGGAAACCAAGUUGUCAUCUCUCUCAAGUUUCAAAUUGCGAUCCUUCCUGCCAACUAGCUUCAAAGAUCAUUCGGUUUUUCUGUCUGAUGGUGCUUCUGGUGGUAUACUGGUAGCAUGGGACACCGGACGAGUCCUGGGACAGGUCAUUGCAACACACAAGUUUCACAUCACCAUGAAGAUGACCUCUCCUAAUACCAACAGCUUCUUCUUGCUCACCACGGUGUACGCACCGUGCCGAAGCAGGGACAGAUCAAGCUUCUUCGAAGCUCUGAACAUUGUGGCUGCGUCAGCAGAUACACCUUGGAUUGUGCUGGGGGAUUUUAAUAUGUACAGGUUUGCUCAUGAGAAGUCCCGUGGUCAGAUUGGUUGGAGGAUGAUGGAGGUUUUUAACGCCUGGAUUCGUGAACACGAUCUGGACGACGUUCAAAUCGACAACAGGCGUUUUACUUGGUCAAACAAAAGACAGACGCCUACCUUUGCCAGACUGGAUCGAGUGCUUGUCAAUGCGGCAUGA
rnacentral:rRNA from 1 species